rnacentral:rRNA from 1 species
GACGAGGGGUCCUAGCGUUGUUCGGAAUCACUGGGCGUAAAGCGUAUGUAGGCGGCUUUCUAAGUCGGUCGUGAAAUCCCACGGCUCAACCGUGGAAGUGCAUUCGAAACUGCAGGGCUAGAGUCCUGGAGAGGAAGGUGGAAUGCUUGGUGUAGAGGUGAAAUUCGUAGAUAUCAAGCGGAACACCGGUGGCGAAGGCGGCCUUCUGGACAGUGACUGACGCUGAGACGCGAAAGCGUGGGGAGCAAACAGGG